GAUGAACGCUGGCGGCGUACUUAACACAUGCAAGUCGAACGAAGCGAUUUGACGGAAGUUUUCGGAUGGAAGUUAAAUUGACUGAGUGGCGGACGGGUGAGUAACGCGUGGGUAACCUGCCUCACACUGGGGGACAACAGUUAGAAAUGACUGCUAAUACCGCAUAAGCGCACAGGACCGCAUGGUCUAGUGUGAAAAACUCCGGUGGUGUGAGAUGGGCCCGCGUUUGAUUAGCUAGUUGGUGGGGUAACGGCCUACCAAGGCGACGAUCAAUAGCCGACCUGAGAGGGUGACCGGCCACAUUGGGACUGAGACACGGCCCAAACUCCUACGGGAGGCAGCAGUGGGGAAUAUUGCACAAUGGGGGAAACCCUGAUGCAGGGACGCCGCGUGAGCGAAGAAGUAUUUCGGUAUGUAAAGCUCUAUCAGCAGGGAAGAAAAUGACGGUACCUGACUAAGAAGCCCCGGCUAACUACGUGCCAGCAGCCGCGGUAAAAC
rnacentral:rRNA from 1 species